UGAAAUGAGUGUGAUCCAGUCCCACAAAAUGACGUACUUGCUGCCAAUAACUCUUAAGACUGAUUUGAUUUUCUCAACAUAUGACAAAAUGGGUUUCGAUUUUGUCUCACAAAAUCACCAUAAAAGCAGCCAAGCUAGCUACUCCCUUCAUUCAAAGCUAGCUGUAUAUAUAGGUCCUCCAUUCCCUAGUACAUCACAAAUCAACAAAAAAUUAAAUAAAUUUAAAUUUAAAGGUUUAAUUUCAAUUCCCAUAAACCAAAGAAACAGACUUCAAAUUUAACAUUAAUGAAAGCAUCGUGACGUUACAGAAGGUCACUAAAAUCAAUUAUCAAGAAGAAUAUGAUAAGAAUUAAAUCACAUGUGUACUAGAGUAGUUACAAAAAUAAAUAUGAACAAAUAAAUACCACCAUAUACAGUGAAUUAGUUAUAUAUGACCUUCAUUAUAUUUUCUAGAUCUUUAGCAGCUAUAUUUUCUUUUCUUUUUAGUUAAAUGAAACUUGUGCGCAGAAAAAUGACAUUAUUCGAACCAUUUCAGCACUUGCUACCUCAUAAUCAAUUACCCAGAAUUCUAUAAAUUGUUAAUUAAUAUUACUCUCAUUUUGCAGCAAAUCAUAAUUUAAAUCUCUUGUAUUUUUCAACCCAUUUUCAGAUUAAUAUAUGCGCACCCAAUUUAGUAUCAUUGUCUCUAUACAUUGAGUGGCAAACUGCCAAAGUCAUCUAAUCUUUAGCAACCAUAGCAUAUGAAAGUUCAUAACAUCACCUCAUGCUUUCAUGCUUAUCAAUAAUUAAUUAAUCACCUUCAGUUAUCGUAAUAUCUUUAUCAUCUUCAUUUACUCUCAAAAUUCAUGUUAAAUAAUGUUGAGUGCACCCAUGCCUCGACUAAGACCAUUAUAAGUUAAUAUAUACGCCGAAUUCCUCACCGAUGAGAACUCUUGUAAUAUAUUUUGAAGUGCGAAUCCAGACUAUAAACCAUUGUUUAGACUUUAGAACCAAAACGCUCGAGACAUCCGCAAUUGAGAAAUAUUAUGUUUAAUUAAUAUUGUCAUUUAUGAGUUUUAAAUACCUUCCAAAGUGGGCAUAGAUUUUCAUCAAGCUACGCUAUAACAAAAUUUAUGUAUGCAAAAAAUUAAAUCCUAGCUUAUCAUCUAACUAUUGAUGCUAAUAGUUUCAUGAACAACAAUAAUAAUGAUCAAAAUCCCCAACAACAACAUUUUGUUUUUAGAAUUUUCUGUGAUUUCACUAAAAUUUAUUUUCUGUUUCCAAAAACAUUGUGACAACUCAAGAACUUUAGCAUGAGAAUUCCCUGCUUUGAAUUUGGUAUCACUAAUUAUUGACUAUAGUCCAUAAAUUAAGGUCAAUAUUGAUCCUUUAGUCUCCCUAGUUUAAGUUAAUUAUCUUCUAAUCACUCCCUACUAUAAUUUUAAAAUCGUUCAAAAAGUUCUCUAUCAUUACUCCUAUACCUUAAUUUUUCAACGACAAAAUGGUAUUUUUAUCUAAUANNNNNNNNNNNNNNNNNNNNNNNNNNNNNNNNNNNNNNNNNNNNNNNNNNNNNNNNNNNNNNNNNNNNNNNNNNNNNNNNNNNNNNNNNNNNNNNNNNNNAGAUAGACAUGCAGCAUUUAAAAAAUAGAGAAGAAUAAGACAAGUUUUAAUGAAAAUAUUUAUAUAAUGCAGGCCUUUCAGAUAAUUUUUAAAGUACAAAAACUAAGUUUAUAAUUAUUCGCUCAAACUAUAGAGACUAAAUAAGUAUUUUUAUUUUGAUUAAUUUUUUAACUUUCUCACCUUCUUAAAUUUUGAAUUUAAGUGCCUAGCAAAAAAAAAAAAAAAUUAUGGGGCCGGUUUAUUGUUUAUACUUCGUUUUACUUAAUAAUAUUAUUGUUUAGAUCUUAUUGUACUAAUCCUUAACAACAACAGCGGCAAAAGUGUAAAUAAUGAUCCAAUCCUGUGAUGAGUGUCUUCCCAAUGCUUGAAGCAAUCUAUAAAUAAUUAAUAGUACAUUGAAUUAAUGAGCUUUCUAGCAUCCAUUUUAGGCCCCAACAAGAGCCAAUUUCACUUUUUUCUAUCUUUUUCCAUAUUUUGGCAAAUUGAAUUAUCUCCCUCUCAAAGCAAGUCGCUGUAGUGAUCCUGAUUUUGAGGACAGCCAUGGAUGCCUUGAAUUUCAUAACCCUAAUUAUAAUUUUUUUUUUUAAAUUUCUCUUUUAUUUCUUCUUCACUUUUUGUAUGGCGUCGAAAAACGAAAUGCAAUGAAAUUAAUGGGUGUUUUCCAAAUUUACUAACUAUUUUGAUAAAGCAAACUUCUCUUGUGACAACAGGCUAACACCACCUUUUUUGGGCAUCUUGCUGGUCCAUCAUCUAAGGUUUGUCUUUGGUCUCUCUAAUAAAAUCCUUUCUUGGAAAAUAUCAUUGGACUAUUUACUUAGGGUUUUGUGAUUGUCAGAUAACAUUUUGCAAAAAUUAUUUAAACUAAAAUUAAAUUCCUUAGUUGAUCCGUUGAGGUUUACUAAUAAAAAUAAAAAUUAAACUCCUUAAUUCAUCCAUUGUUUCAAAAAUUUUAAAUAAAGUCAUGACUUGUUUUUUUCCUCUCUUCAACUAGGCUUUCAGCACCUUGAGUUUCAGCACACUCAAAAGGUACGGUAUAUGAGAGUAAAUUUGCCAUACUCCUUAUUUACUUUUGACUACACAUCAUUAAUUGCUUUCCUAGCACUUUGUCUUCCUCUAGAAAUUAACUUGCAGAAUUAUUUUUUUCUUUUUCAUUUUUUAUUGUGAAACUUUUUUUUUUUCCAAAGAAAUUUUUUACUGUAAAAUUUAUUAUGUAUACGCACGUCGGUACUCGCACGACAGACUUUUCAUUGUCGUCUUUGAACAAGAUAUGAGAUUUUCUUUUACAUUCAAGAAAUCUUUGGAUAAUCUUGAUCCAUGAUCUAUGUGACUAAUAAUAACAUGCAAGUUUGUUAGGUUUUGUAUAAUAAGGUGAGUCCAAGCCAUAGUUUAUUAAGCCAUGAUGAUAACGAGAGAAUUUACAAAAACUGUGAUGUAUGACCUAUUAUUAUCUCUCUCAAAAUUCGAAUUCGGAUGAUCAACUAAAUAAUAAAUUUGGAUGAUCAACUAAAUAAUAAAUUGAUUGAAAAUCAUUACGGCACACACUUGGUUAUUCUUGUAAUGUUAUACAUGUAACUUAUAGUGUUACAUAUGUAGGGAGAAUGCCCAGUUAUUAUUUUGAUUAGUUGAAUUUAUUGUGUUUGUUAUAUUCUUUUGUUCAUUCUCAAAAUUAGCUAACUAAUAUUUAUUAUCUUUAAUAAUUAUUUAAUUAAUUCUUUGGAUCGUCAAGAUUAAUUAUUAAAAAAAAAACCCAAAAUGCUCUCUUUCAGUCUACAAAUUGCAAAAAUAAAUAUUUUAUGCAUACAAUUAUAAUCAAUAAAUAUAUGUCUAGAUUUAACCCCCCGAAAAAAUCCACUAUUGAGUAUAUAUUCAUUUUAUUUUGAAUUUUUUAAUCUACAAACUCAUUCAUAACAGUUAUGUUUACAUCAUAUGUUUUGGAAACACGCCCAAGUGAAACCCUAAAAUGAUUGCUUUGUGCAUGCGCAAGCUAAUAAGUGUAGAACAAAAUAUUUGAUACAAUAUUGAAAGUGACUUGCAGUGCCUCGCUUGAAUACAAAAGACGACAUAAGAUACCAACUGUGUCAUGCACCGUCUGAUCGAGAUUGGAUGGUGAUGCAAAUUUUAAAGAGUCAAACCUCUUUCUUUCCAUUGAUUGGCUCAAGUAAAUUUCAUGAUUGAUUGUUCCUCAGUUGCAGAACCAUUGAAAUUAUAUUGUAGGGUUUUCAUGAUAGCAAUGAAGUUUAAUUUUACAGUUUAAUCAAAGUCAUGCACAUGUUUAGUGGCCUCAGUUGCUUCAUUAAUUAGGCUAAAAAGUAAAAGAUAAUGGCACCUUCUUUGAGUUCAAAUGUUAUAAAAUGCCUGACAGUAAACUCAAAAUCAUGCUUGGAUUUGAAUUUUAGUACAUUUAUUGCCCUAUAAUUAGAUGGCAUAGCUUUAUAUAUACUUUUGAAACAAAUAUUAAGGGAUAAAGAUCCUCUCUUGGUCUGAACUCUCAUGAGUUUUUAAUGAUCUUGUGCCAUGUGUAUUUAAGUGAUAGUGUAUGGAUAUGAUUUAAUUUUUUCAUUUUCUUUAUUUAUUAACUAUCAAUCACCCAUAUGUAUUUUUACUCAGGAAAAGAUAUCAUGAGAGAAUCUUAAUCUAAUAUUAAGUGUAGGUUGAUUAAUUAGUAUAGUAGGCAAUCAAUGAUUGCGGACAAAAACCCUAGAAAAGAAAAAAAAAACAUUACCAAUCUAAUUAUGUCACUUUUAGGUUGUUAUGUUUUGUUUCAUAAUGAGGAUUAAGAUGGGGGGUUUUCAAUUUCAGUUAGAUGAUUAAUGAUUACAAAUAAUUAAUGGUAAUUAUAAGCUAAAAGCCUAAAAUAUAUGCUAAACUGCAAUGCAUAUAUACAUAUGUAAUGAUAAUUUUUAACUACGGUGACCUUUAAAAGAACAAACAAGAAAAAAGAAAAAAGGCUAGCCAACCUAUAGCCAUCUUCACGCAAUGCCAAAAACACAUAAAAGUCCAACAUUGUCUGAAUUUCAACAGAAAAAGAGAUCAUCAUCAAGAACUGAAUGAGUAUUUAAUUAACAUAUACAUAAAAAUUAAAGGAGAAGCCCUAGGAUUUCAGUGCUUCAAAACGGUCACUCACGUAAAAAGAGAUUGAAUUGAAGCAAGAACCCUAAUAAAAGCUAAAUCACUGGUAGCAUAUAGGUGCAAUUCUUGACGCAGCUAGAUAUGGAGUACUUUCGCAGAAAAUUAGAAAAAUAAAAUUUCAACCCUUUGAUUCUUUUCACCUUUUGAUCCUUGUGGGCCCGCUCAACCUCUUCCCAUUUUUCUCUUUAAUUAUUN
rnacentral:lncRNA from 1 species